GUCAAUAAUGGCUUGUUAAUGUUAUCAUAACAAAGCAGAUUUUUAUGUUCUUGAAUUUAUAGUGAAAUUACUCGUUAACGUUAUGCUGUUCCUCAUUGUAGUGGAGCGUUUUUUAAAAAUUAAAAAACCUUUACUAAAAGCGCUAUGUCGUUCGAAAUUUGCGCCGACAAAAUAUUCGAGGUUAUGUAGCGAAUAUUUCAUUGAAAGUGACUAUGAACAUCAAAGCAGAUGCACAGUUGUGGAACAUCAACACAAACGUGAAUAAAAUUGCAGUUCCAUCUGUAUCUUCUUGGAAUAAAAAAAUUUACGAAACUAGCAGGAGAUAGAUCAAUGGGAUUGUUAACUCCAACGUCCGGAAACAUUUAUUUCAAGGCCAGUCAUCAGUUUCCUCUCUGAAUGAAGAAGAUAUUCUACCUAUUAGUGAAAAAAGAUAUUUCUCAUAAGGUCGAAAUAAAUAUAGUGUCAGCUAAAUAAACCCAAACAUGUGUUUUCUACUGAAAUAUCUUUUUUUUUAUUUUUUCAUCAAAAAAUACACUAUUUUAAUUGACUCAUGAUAUGAAAUAUUGUUGCAGUAAGGUACUUGGCUUUUCUGGUGGCGAAAUAAAACUCACCUCAGAGCUAGUCAGUUUUAUGCCUUUAGAAUCUAAAAUGAUUUUCAUAUAUUUGAUAUUAUGUAAUUUCAGGGAAUGUAUUAUGAAUAAAAGAAAAUAAUAACAA